rnacentral:rRNA from 1 species
UACAGAGGUGGCAAGCGUUGUUCGGAAUCACUGGGCGUAAAGCGCACGUAGGCGGCUUUGUAAGUUAGAGGUGAAAGCCCGGAGCUCAACUCCGGAACUGCCUUUAAGACUGCAUCGCUUGAAUCCAGGAGAGGUGAGUGGAAUUCCGAGUGUAGAGGUGAAAUUCGUAGAUAUUCGGAAGAACACCAGUGGCGAAGGCGGCUCACUGGACUGGUAUUGACGCUGAGGUGCGAAAGCGUGGGGAGCAAACAGG